rnacentral:rRNA from 1 species
UCAAGCGACCAAGGGCAUAAGGUGAAUGCCUUGGCACUGAGAGCCGAAGAAGGACGUGAUAAGCUGCGAAAAGUCUCGGGGAGGAGCAAAUAUCCAUUGAUCCGUGAAUAUCCGAAUGGGGAAACCCACUUGAGCAAACCUCAAGUAUCUUGUUGUGAAUACAUAGCAACAAGAGGGAAUAGUUGGUGAACUGAAACAUCUAAGUAGCCAGACGAAAAGAAAGAAAAAAUUCGAUUUUCAAAGUAGCGGCGAGCGAAAUGGAAAGAGCCCAAAUUAAGUCAAUGAAGAAGAAGGAUAGUAGAAUGGUAUGGGAAGACCAACCGAAGAAAGUGAAAGUCUUGUAAACGAAAUCCAACUGAUUCUGACUUAGAAAGAGUAGCAUGGGACACGAGAAAUCCUGUGUGAAUAUAGGGGGACCACCCCCUAAGGCUAAAUACUACUCAGUGACCGAUAGAGAAUAGUACCGUGAGGGAAAGGUGAAAAGAACCCCGGGAGGGGAGUGAAAUAGAACCUGAAACCUUAUGCCUACAAGCAGAUAGAGUCUUAAGAGAGAUGAUAUCGUACUUUUUGUAGAACGGGCCAGCGAGUUAUGGUGUGCGGCAAGGUUAAGUAAUGAAGUUACGGAGCCGUAGGGAAACCGAGUCUGAAUAGGGCGAGAUAGUCGUAUGCCAUAGACCCGAAACCAGGUGAUCUAUCCAUGAGCAGGUUGAAGUGAAAGUAAAAUUUCAUGGAGGACCGAACCGGGUAGCGUUUAAAAGCUAUCGGAUGACUUGUGGAUAGGGGUGAAAAGCCAAUCGAACUUGGAGAUAGCUGGUUCUCCUCGAAAUAGCUUUAGGGCUAGCCUCAAUUUAGUUUACAGGGGGUAGAGCACUGAAUACCGUAGGGGUGUUAGACAUUACCGAAAGUUAUCAAACUGCGAAUACCUGAUAAAUGAUGAUUGGGAGUCAGACUAUGUGGGAUAAGCUUCAUAGUCAAAAGGGAAAGAGCCCAGACCACCAGCUAAGGUCCCUAAAUAUAGAUUAAGUGGUAAAGGAUGUUUUACUACUUAGACAACCAGGAUGUUGGCUUAGAAGCAGCCAUACAUUUAAAGAGUGCGUAAUAGCUCACUGGUCAAGUGGUAGAGCGCCGAAAAUGAACGGGGCUAAAAUCUAAUACCGAAGCUGUGGACUAAUGAAAAUUAGUGGUAGAGGAGCAUUGUGUAAGGGGCGAAGCUAAGUUGGAAGACGAAGUGGACUUUACAGAAGAGAGAAUGCUGGCAUGAGUAGCGAAAAGGAGGGUGAGAAUCCCUCCCGUCGAAAGCCUAAGGAUUCCUGAGGAAGGCUCGUCCUCUCAGGGUAAGUCGGGACCUAAGCCCAGGCUGAAAAGCGUAAGCGAUGGACAACAGGUUGAGAUUCCUGUACUAUCUUUGAAUGUUUGAGAGAUGUACUGACGCAGGAGGAUAUGUUGAGCGUGUGAAUGGUAGAGCACGUCUAAGCAAGUAGGUAGAGAAUAGAGGCAAAUCCCUAUUCUUAAUAUCGAGAUGCGAUGGGGAGCGAAAAAUAAGUAGUGAAGCAACAGAUUCCAAACUGCCAAGAAAAGGUACUAUUGAGUGAGAAGAUACCCGUACCAAAACCGACACAGGUAGGCAAGGAGAGAAUCCUAAGACGCGCGGAAGAACCUUUGUUAAGGAACUCGGCAAAAUGACCCCGUAACUUCGGGAGAAGGGGUACCAUUAGAUGUGAAGUACUUACGUAUGGAGCAUAGAGUGGUCGCAGAGAAUAGGCCCAAGCAACUGUUUACCAAAAACACAAGUCUCUGCUAAAUCGAAAGAUGAAGUAUAGGGGCUGACACCUGCCCGGUGCUGGAAGGUUAAGGGGAAAUGUUAGAGCAAUCGAAGCAUAGAACUUAAGCCCCAGUAAACGGCGGCCGUAACUAUAACGGUCCUAAGGUAGCGAAAUUCCUUGUCGGGU